ACAGUCAGUUACAGAUUGAACUCCU
rnacentral:piRNA from 3 species